rnacentral:lncRNA from 1 species
AUUUCAAUGUCGUUCCUCUGGAAACUGCUGGAGAUGGCUUUGCCCACACGAUGGCAUCGCAUGUUUAAGAAGUUCUCUGUGCAGCCCACACUGCGGGUUUCAACACGGCUCCAAGAACUCUUUUCGGUCUGGAAAUACAAGACUAGGGAUUCCAGUCCUACUGACCUUGCACUGACAACCAGCCAGCUAAUUCCGAUUGACCAGUAUCAUCUUCACAAACAAAUGAUGGUUUCAUGACCCUUUUUCUCCGACUACUGAGCUCAGAAUCAGUCAAAAAGCUACUGAAAGGAAUUUUAGAAUUUGUUGAAGGUAUUUUUUCCAAUGAGGAAGUCUUCCAUAGAAAAUACAUAACUUUAGCUGUUUCCAUAUAUAGUACUGCAGGACGGAAAGCAGAGGAUCCUUUUGCUCCAGAUGGAAACAGACGGUCUCAUUUCCUCAGAACACAGCCUAAUUCCUUCUAUUUCAAUUGUAAUGUGGGCAGCACUACACACAAUGACACUGUGGCCCGGACUUUUUGUUCUGUUUGUGAGCAUGGAUCACUUCACAGGCUGUUAUCACAGUUGUGUCCUUGGGGUCAGACUGUUUGGUCUGCCGACCCCAAACCCUGGAAGUGCCACCGCCAUCAGAAACAAUGAGGUGGAAACACAGUGAAAAACAUCAAACAAUUUUAGAGCACUGCAUCUGGCAAACAAAAACGUGUUUGAGUAUGAGAUGGGAAAGUUCUGGUAACAUUCCUGAACUCAUUUUCACCCUUGUUCACCUCUUUAACGCAUACAGACUCUUUCUCCAAAGAGUGGAAGAAAACCCCUUGAAACAUCUUAGAUUUGUGAGGGGAGACUUAUUCAGCAGAGCAGCUGCAUUUCUUGGCAGUCUGCAGUAUUGACACCCACCAUGGAACAAGAAACCAGUGUUUUGUCCUCUGUUGUAUGGAAAACCCUUAAGUUUUGAAAAUAAAUGAUGGAAACAUGAUCA